rnacentral:lncRNA from 1 species
GUUACUUUCAUUCAACUCACAGUCUCCAUCAUCGUUCCAGUUUCACCGCGAUCUCUCUCUCCCUCUCUCAGACUCACCGCCAAAUCUCCACCGUGGUUGAUUUGUUGUCUCACAUUUUUCGAAUCCUUAUAGCUGUUCACUUUCUCAAGAUUCAUCUCUUAUAACCUAUGGGCUUUAUCUCCGGAGAUGAUUUCUCCAUUGCUGGCAAUCCGUCCGUCUCUCUCUCUCUCUCCCUCAAUUUCACACUCGUCGCAACAUUCAAUUUCAAAUCCUUAUAGAAUUUAUGGGCUUUAUUUCAUAAGAUAGAUUGCUCCUUGACGAAAUCCUAGAGUCCUCCUUCCUCUUUGGGACAAUUUAUUUCUCUCAAUCUUCUCAUUAGUCUUAAAAUGUUGGGCCUUUUCUGCUCAAGUAUGUGUAUGGCUUUUUCUGAAAUUAGAAAGGAUUUUGGGCAAAUUCAAUAGUUUUGGUAAGUUUCUGUUGAUAAUUGCAGAUGGCCAGGUAUAUAUUUUGCCUUGUUUCAUUUUUUUAAUUAUGCAGAGAGUAAUUUUAUUGACACAUAGCUGGGAUUAAGAAAUAGGCUGCUCAAGUGACUAUUGGUUUGGCACAGAUUUGCAUUCUCGUUGAAAUCUUUUUUUUUUUUUUUUAAUGUAAAUGAGAGUAUAAGAGGAAGUUUUGAUGAAAAUAUUUAACAAAAAAAAAACUGCAAGGUGUGUAUUAACUACAUAGAUAUGUGUGAAUAAAAUUUCUCUUAUGCAAAUAGAGUGCCAACUUGUUUCAUUUUGACUAAAAUGCUUGGAUUUGAAUCUACCCUUAAUUGAUAUGCAAAACUGCAAUGGUUGGAGAGUGAACCUAAUGUGACAAUCCUGUGUAAAGAUUGCAUUGAUGGGUUUCUUGGUUCAAUUGAGAAAGACGUAUCUAAUGUGUUUGUAAAUUGGGUUAAGAGCAAUCAGAUCAAAACUUUCUUUUAAUUAGAUAGCUCAAAUGUUGGGGAAAGAAGAAAGAGAAACAAUAGCUCAUAGUGGUUACAAGCAAUAAUCCAGGUUGCCAUUAGCGUCAUCUUUGUUGCCG